UGAUAGUGUACUUACUCGAAUUCAACCUCAGUUUGAAUUGUCUCAACUGGUCAAACGACCUGCCCCGGUCUGCCAGAUGCCCCUCUUCUGUUUGGGACUUUGCUAUCAUGUCAUAGCAUUUGAUUUCAUGACGAAUCAUAUCAUGAAACAAAGUCACCAUAGCUCUCUGAUACAGGCACUGACGUUCUGCUUCUUUAGAGGACGGUCUCCUUUCCAUGGCAGCUUGUGCACAACGACAUC
rnacentral:lncRNA from 1 species